rnacentral:rRNA from 1 species
GGGCGAAGCUCGGUCGGGUAACAGUUGGAACGACUGCUAAUACCGGAUGUGCCGAAAGGUGAAAGAUUUAUUGCCUGAAGAUGAGCUCGCGUCUGAUUAGCUAGUUGGUGUGGUAAGAGCGCACCAAGGCGACGAUCAGUAGCUGGUCUGAGAGGAUGAUCAGCCACACUGGGACUGAGACACGGCCCAGACUCCUACGGGAGGCAGCAGUGGGGAAUUUUCCGCAAUGGGCGAAAGCCUGACGGAGCAAUACCGCGUGAGGGAGGAAGGCUCUUGGGUUGUAAACCUCUUUUCUCAAGGAAUAACGCAAUGAAGGUACUUGAGGAAUAAGCAUCGGCUAACUCCGUGCCAGCAGCCGCGGUAAUACGGAGGAUGCAAGCGUUAUCCGGAAUGAUUGGGCGUAAAGGGUCCGCAGGUGGCAGUGUAAGUCUGCUGUUAAAGAAUGAGGCUCAACCUCAUCAAGGCAGUGGAAACUACACAGCUAGAGUACGGUCGGGGUAGAAGGAAUUCCUGGUGUAGCGGUGAAAUGCGUAGAGAUCAGGAAGAACACCGGUGGCGAAAGCGUUCUGCUAGACCUGUACUGACACUGAGGGACGAAAGCUAGGGGAGCGAAUGGGAUUAGAUAUCCAAGGUAGUCACACG